rnacentral:rRNA from 1 species
GUGGGGAAUUUUCCGCAAUGGGCGAAAGCCUGACGGAGCAACGCCGCGUGUAUGAAGAAGUCUUUCGGGAUGUAAAGUACUUUCAGCAGGGACGAGUUGAAGACGGUACCUGCAGAAGAAGCAUCGGCUAACUACGUGCCAGCAGCCGCGGUAAUACGUAGGAUGCAAGCGUUGUCCGGAAUUAUUGGGCGUAAAGAGUUCGUAGGCGGUUUAUUAAGUCAGAGGUUAAAGACCAAGGCUCAACCUUGGGAGUGCCUUUGAUACUGGUAGGCUUGAGGAUGGCAGAGGAAAGUGGAAUUCCAAGUGUAGCGGUGAAAUGCGUAGAUAUUUGGAGGAACACCGGUGGCGAAAGCGACUUUCUGGGCCAUUUCUGACGCUGAGGAACGAAAGCGUGGGGAGCAAACAGGAUUAGAUACCCUUGUAGUCC